ensembl:lncRNA
UUUCUCAGGAGGGCUUUGUGUAUGAAAUGGAGAGAUGGUCGUUAGAGUGAGACGGUCCUUCCCAUUCUGCUGUCUACACCCGAGGCCAUUUUUCUUUGAGGGCUAAAUGAUCGGGAUAUGUAGGAAGGUCCCUGCUUUCAGAGAGGCGCACUGCGCCCACACUUGGGGAGAGCACAGGGUUUAUGUAACCUGUGAGGAAGGACACCCAGGUGAACCUGACAGGCCAGUGUGGUAACUCUCCAUCUUGUGUACAGAGAAAAGAGCAGAAGCAGUAUCUAACACCAAGCCAUCUGCCAACAUUCUUGUAAGACUGUUCCAGGCAGUGAAUUUCCACAUUGUUUCUUUGACCUGCUGAACCCAAAGCACCAAAACAGAGCAUUCUGUAGCAAUAUGAGCAACGGAAUGAAAGUAAUUUUGCACCUUUAAGGAACAUGCACCCUUAUAAAUCUGUACCCUGAUAUUAAAAUAGCAGAAUGAGUUUCAAGUAUGAAGAAAUACAGUAAAAGUAUAGCCUGUAGAUGAAUAGAAAACAGCAGCCUGGAACAUGGUUUAUAUUCUUCAUUAGUUUUUCUCUUUGUACACAGCCAAAACUGAAUGCUCUGUAGAAUGACUUGAUUUAAAAAUCAAGAUACAGAUGAAGAUGCUAGAGGGCAUUUGUGAUUGAAUGUUGUGAGUGUAUUCUGUGCCGAGCACCAGGAAUCUUCUCUUGAUGACUGUGGCCAGCCAAAAGUCAAGUAGGGGUAGUGGCUAAGCCUGAGCAGGCACACCUGUGAUGCCCAAAGCAUCUCUCCUCAUGUCCCCGACGCCCAAGGAGCGGCAGAGGAGGAUGGAGAGCGCCACGUGGACAGGUCAGAAUGAGGGUAGGGAGCACUUCAGAGGGAGGGAGGAAAGGAUGCACAUGUACAAUCUCCAUACCUCCAGAACUGUGAUUUCAAACAGAGAAACCCACAAGUCAAAUGUUCAAAUUAAGAUUUUUUUCCUACCUUUAAAACAUUUUCUAAGUUAAAAAAAAAAAAAAAGCUCACUGGGUGUGACAGCCUUGCUGAAGCCUAGAAGAAAGUUUUAACUAGGCCCUAUGGGAACGCAGAAACAGAAAUACAUUUUACAGUGAAAACGUGCUUUUACACAUCUCAAAAAUGACAAUCCUAUAAAAUCCUCUAGUUCUAAUCUGCACUUUACGGGAACUGAUAUUGUGCUUUUCUUAACACAUACUGCUCUUCUAUACCAAACACUUGCUGUUUAACCCUCAGAUCAAAACCUAAAAUACCAGAAAUGCAACAAGCUUUUGAGGUGUUGGGGACUGUUAGUUGUUAAAAUCCCAUUGUUGACUAUUGUACACGCAAUCCUUGUUUUUAUUACCAGACUGUACUGCUUCUGUACAAAACCAAGUUGCUUGAAGCACAGAAACUUGGACUUCUCCAUCUAACACGUUCUGGAAGCCUCAAGGCACAAGCUGACAGUUCUGCUUCUACAGGAAACUCUCACACUGCUCUCCUGUCAACAGGACCACCUAUUGCUGCCACUGCACACAACACCUCCAAGGGCACUAAAGCGCUCAGGAGAACCACUUCUCAAGGCCAGACCAGAGGCUCCGCCCAGGCACCUGUCUCUGCCCGGCCUCUACUCUAGUGGCCAUCUGGUAGAGUUCCUAAAUUAAGGCAGUAUCUGAUGCUUUUCUAUCUGUAGUUUUUAUUUUUGCUGUAUUUUAACACUAUACUAUAUGCAUAUUUGACAAAAGAACAACUACAAAAUACUUUGCUUUAAUUCCUUUACAUAAUGAUAAAACACCUAAACACAAAAACACUACAUCUAUAGACUUAAAUUCUACUAAUCACGUUAAACUGCAUGCAGCUUAUUUGGGGGCUUAGUCUAAUUUUAAUUUUCUUAGCUCCAUCAAGAUCAUGAUAAUGAAUGUUAAAUUCAAGUCCUAAUGCGGUUUGCCUUCAGUUGCACUUUCACAGGACUAGUGUGCUUCAGAAAUAAAUAAUAUACAUGAAUAAUAAUAGAAAUAAUUUAUGCAAAUGUAGAACAAUUGAAAUAGACAUUCCCCACCUUGUUAAGUGCUCAUCCUAGGGGUAGUUGAUGCUAUUGAUUUCAUGUACUAACUAAUACAUUUAUUACUGGUCAUAGGAAAAUAAAUGAACACAAAGUAAGUGAGGAAAUAUGAUAUUCACGUGUACAUUGUUGCAAACACAGGACCAAAAUGAGAAGAUAUAUAACACACUUGGGGGCUUCAAGAAAUGUAUUACGGCUGGGAUCUAUUUUCAUUAUUCAGAGACUUCAAAGUUGCUGGUGAUCACAGAAAUAUUGCUAGCUAGUACAUAUUAUUGCAUUUCAUAAAACUUAAGAUUAGAAACUUUCAAGUAAGGGCAAAGGGUAUCUUCAGGACUGUAACCUAAGCACAUCAAUGGAAUUUGGAUAGAAACCACAGAGAGUUAGAAAUUAAGUGUGUGGUCUAUGCUUGCUGAUUAGUGCUACAGUCAUAGUUCUUGGUAGCAACACAUACUGUUAUGUGCCCUCUUUAAAAAAACCUACAUUUGACAAUCCAGACUACUAAAAUAGAGAAGGGGUUGAUUAUCUGCUUGAAGAAACAACUCACACAAAAGCUUCCUCUAAAUAGGAGAAUUCCGUACUACGUGAGAUAAUUUGCUUACAUACCUUUAAUUACUUGACAAAGAAAAACGAGAAGGAAGAAAUUAGAAACUAAAGAAUUAGGAGCUUUUGCCACUGAGGAUGAAGCAGAAAAUAAAAUUUCCAAACAAAAAUUUCCAGGCAUAUUUUUUGCCAUCAUAUAUGUAGAAUGAUAGAAAAUAAAAAAAUAAAAACAUCUUCCCUGUAAUUAUACAUCUUCUCUUAAGAAAAAAAAAAAAAAGCUGAGCUUAGAGCUUGAGAGAUGC